rnacentral:lncRNA from 1 species
GACUGCUAAGAUUGCAUCUUUCGCCUACUUUAACAAGGGACAAAAGCCAUGGGAUAAUACAGCAAGAAGGCCUACACCAGAAGCCAACAUCACACUUUUGGACUUCUCAGCCCCAGAACUGACUUUACCAAAGGGUACAAGAAUGAGCUAACACACUCCAAGACUGUGACAUUUUUCUACGUGAGUCAAGGCUGAACUUCCAUGUUAUUGUCUCCUGUAUACAGAGCAGGAAGCUAAGACUCAAAGAGAUUAAAUAGCAAUUCCGAUCAGUAAAAAGCAGAGCACAGACAUGAAUGAGUUUAUCCUAUUUCAAAAUUAUUAUUCUUUUUUAAAUUUCAUCUUUAUAACUUUUUUAUUUCUAACUACAGAAGUAAGUACAUAAGCAUGACGG